GGGUUGUGAGGUUAAGCGACUAAGCGUACACGGUGGAUGCCCUGGCAGUCAGAGGCGAUGAAGGACGUGCUAAUCUGCGAAAAGCGUCGGUAAGGUGAUAUGAACCGUUAUAACCGGCGAUGUCCGAAUGGGGAAACCCAGUGUGAUUCGUCACACUAUCGUUAACUGAAUACAUAGGUUAACGAGGCGAACCGGGGGAACUGAAACAUCUAAGUACCCCGAGGAAAAGAAAUCAACCGAGAUUCCCCCAGUAGCGGCGAGCGAACGGGGAGCAGCCCAGAGUCUGAAUCAGCUUGUGUGUUAGUGGAACGGUCUGGAAAGUCCGACGGUACAGGGUGAUAGUCCCGUACACCAAAAUGCACAGGCUGUGAACUCGAAGAGUAGGGCGGGACACGUGGUAUCCUGUCUGAAUAUGGGGGGACCAUCCUCCAAGGCUAAAUACUCCUGACUGACCGAUAGUGAACCAGUACCGUGAGGGAAAGGCGAAAAGAACCCCGGCGAGGGGAGUGAAAAAGAACCUGAAACCGUGUACGUACAAGCAGUGGGAGCACCUUCGGGUGUGACUGCGUACCUUUUGUAUAAUGGGUCAGCGACUUAUAUUCUGUAGCAAGGUUAACCGUAUAGGGGAGCCGCAGGGAAACCGAGUCUUAACUGGGCGUUAAGUUGCAGGGUAUAGACCCGAAACCCGGUGAUCUAGCCAUGGGCAGGUUGAAGGUUGGGUAACACUAACUGGAGGACCGAACCGACUAAUGUUGAAAAAUUAGCGGAUGACUUGUGGCUGGGGGUGAAAGGCCAAUCAAACCGGGAGAUAGCUGGUUCUCCCCGAAAGCUAUUUAGGUAGCGCCUCGUGAACUCAUCUUCGGGGGUAGAGCACUGUUUCGGCUAGGGGGUCAUCCCGACUUACCAACCCGAUGCAAACUACGAAUACCGAAGAAUGUUAUCACGGGAGACACACGGCGGGUGCUAACGUCCGUCGUGAAGAGGGAAACAACCCAGACCGCCAGCUAAGGUCCCAAAGUCAUGGUUAAGUGGGAAACGAUGUGGGAAGGCACAGACAGCCAGGAUGUUGGCUUAGAAGCAGCCAUCAUUUAAAGAAAGCGUAAUAGCUCACUGGUCGAGUCGGCCUGCGCGGAAGAUGUAACGGGGCUAAACCAUGCACCGAAGCUGCGGCAGCGACACUAUGUGUUGUUGGGUAGGGGAGCGUUCUGUAAGCCUGCGAAGGUGUGCUGUGAGGCAUGCUGGAGGUAUCAGAAGUGCGAAUGCUGACAUAAGUAACGAUAAAGCGGGUGAAAAGCCCGCUCGCCGGAAGACCAAGGGUUCCUGUCCAACGUUAAUCGGGGCAGGGUGAGUCGACCCCUAAGGCGAGGCCGAAAGGCGUAGUCGAUGGGAAACAGGUUAAUAUUCCUGUACUUGGUGUUACUGCGAAGGGGGGACGGAGAAGGCUAUGUUAGCCGGGCGACGGUUGUCCCGGUUUAAGCAUGUAGGCUGGUUAUCCAGGCAAAUCCGGAUAAUCAAGGCUGAGGUGUGAUGACGAGGCACUACGGUGCUGAAGUAACAAAUGCCCUGCUUCCAGGAAAAGCCUCUAAGCAUCAGGUAACAUCAAAUCGUACCCCAAACCGACACAGGUGGUCAGGUAGAGAAUACCAAGGCGCUUGAGAGAACUCGGGUGAAGGAACUAGGCAAAAUGGUGCCGUAACUUCGGGAGAAGGCACGCUGGUGUGUAGGUGAAGUCCCUGCGGAUGGAGCUGAGACCAGUCGAAGAUACCAGCUGGCUGCAACUGUUUAUUAAAAACACAGCACUGUGCAAACACGAAAGUGGACGUAUACGGUGUGACGCCUGCCCGGUGCCGGAAGGUUAAUUGAUGGGGUUAUCCGUAAGGAGAAGCUCUUGAUCGAAGCCCCGGUAAACGGCGGCCGUAACUAUAACGGUCCUAAGGUAGCGAAAUUCCUUGUCGGGUAAGUUCCGACCUGCACGAAUGGCGUAAUGAUGGCCAGGCUGUCUCCACCCGAGACUCAGUGAAAUUGAACUCGCUGUGAAGAUGCAGUGUACCCGCGGCAAGACGGAAAGACCCCGUGAACCUUUACUAUAGCUUGACACUGAACAUUGAGCCUUGAUGUGUAGGAUAGGUGGGAGGCUUUGAAGCGUGGACGCCAGUCUGCGUGGAGCCAACCUUGAAAUACCACCCUUUAAUGUUUGAUGUUCUAACGUUGGCCCCUGACCGGGGUUGCGGACAGUGUCUGGUGGGUAGUUUGACUGGGGCGGUCUCCUCCCAAAGCGUAACGGAGGAGCACGAAGGUUAGCUAAUCCUGGUCGGACAUCAGGAGGUUAGUGCAAUGGCAUAAGCUAGCUUGACUGCGAGCGUGACGGCGCGAGCAGGUGCGAAAGCAGGUCAUAGUGAUCCGGUGGUUCUGAAUGGAAGGGCCAUCGCUCAACGGAUAAAAGGUACUCCGGGGAUAACAGGCUGAUACCGCCCAAGAGUUCAUAUCGACGGCGGUGUUUGGCACCUCGAUGUCGGCUCAUCACAUCCUGGGGCUGAAGUAGGUCCCAAGGGUAUGGCUGUUCGCCAUUUAAAGUGGUACGCGAGCUGGGUUUAGAACGUCGUGAGACAGUUCGGUCCCUAUCUGCCGUGGGCGCUGGAGAAUUGAGGGGGGCUGCUCCUAGUACGAGAGGACCGGAGUGGACGCAUCACUGGUGUUCGGGUUGUCAUGCCAAUGGCACUGCCCGGUAGCUAAAUGCGGAAGAGAUAAGUGCUGAAAGCAUCUAAGCACGAAACUUGCCCCGAGAUGAGUUCUCCCUGAGACUAUAAGUCUCCUGAAGGAACGUUGAAGACGACGACGUUGAUAGGCCGGGUGUGUAAGCGCAGCGAUGCGUUGAGCUAACCGGUACUAAUGAACCGUGAGGCUUAACCUUACAACGCCGAAG
rnacentral:rRNA from 1 species